GCCAGGCAUGGUGGUGCAUGCCUGUAGUCCCAGCUACUCGGGAGGCUGAGACAGGAGGAUCCCUUGAGCCCAGGAGUCCAAGACUGCUAUAGUUAACGAUGAUCACAUCACUGUACUCUAGCCUGGGUGACAAAGUGAGAUUCUGUCUCAA
rfam:Pan troglodytes isolate Yerkes chimp pedigree #C0471 (Clint) chromosome 2B, whole genome shotgun sequence.